CUGCAGUCGANCGCUUCUUUUUCCACUCGGAGCUUGCUCCACCGGAAAAAGAGGAGUGGCGAACGGGUGAGUAACACGUGGGUAACCUGCCCAUCAGAAGGGGAUAACACUUGGAAACAGGUGCUAAUACCGUAUAACAAUCGAAACCGCAUGGUUUUGAUUUGAAAGGCGCUUUCGGGUGUCGCUGAUGGAUGGACCCGCGGUGCAUUAGCUAGUUGGUGAGGUAACGGCUCACCAAGGCGACGAUGCAUAGCCGACCUGAGAGGGUGAUCGGCCACAUUGGGACUGAGACACGGCCCAAACUCCUACGGGAGGCAGCAGUAGGGAAUCUUCGGCAAUGGACGAAAGUCUGACCGAGCAACGCCGCGUGAGUGAAGAAGGUUUUCGGAUCGUAAAACUCUGUUGUUAGAGAAGAACAAGGAUGAGAGUAACUGUUCAUCCCUUGACGGUAUCUAACCAGAAAGCCACGGCUAACUACGUGCCAGCAGCCGCGGUAAUACGUAGGUGGCAAGCGUUGUCCGGAUUUAUUGGGCGUAAAGCGAGCGCAGGCGGUUUCUUAAGUCUGAUGUGAAAGCCCCCGGCUCAACCGGGGAGGGUCAUUGGAAACUGGGAGACUUGAGUGCAGAAGAGGAGAGUGGAAUUCCAUGUGUAGCGGUGAAAUGCGUAGAUAUAUGGAGGAACACCAGUGGCGAAGGCGGCUCUCUGGUCUGUAACUGACGCUGAGGCUCGAAAGCGUGGGGAGCAAACAGGAUUAGAUACCCUGGUAGUCCACGCCGUAAACGAUGAGUGCUAAGUGUUNGGAGGGUUUCCGCCCUUCAGUGCUGCAGCUAACGCAUUAAGCACUCCGCCUGGGGAGUACGACCGCAAGGUUGAAACUCAAAGGAAUUGACGGGGGCCCGC
rnacentral:rRNA from 1 species